CUACGGGUGGCUCCAGUGGGGAAUAUUGGACAAUGGGGGAAACCCUGAUCCAGCAAUGCCGCGUGUGUGAAGAAGGCCUGCGGGUUGUAAAGCACUUUCGGUUGGGAGGACUGCUUCUAGCACUAAUAUUGUUGGAAGUUGACGUUACCUUCAGAAGAAGCACCGGCUAACUCCGUGCCAGCAGCCGCGGGUAAUACGGAGGGUGCAAGCGUUAAUCGGAAUUACUGGGCGUAAAGCGCGCGUAGGCGGCUAGAUCAGUCGGGUGUGAAAGCCCCGGGCUUAACCUGGGAACUGCAUCCGAUACUGUCUAGCUUGAGUACAGGAGAGGAGGGUGGAAUUCCACAUGUAGCGGUGAAAUGCGUAGAUAUGUGGAGGAACACCAAUGGCGAAGGCAGCUCUCUGGCCUGAUACUGACGCUGAGGUGCGAAAGCGUGGGGAGCAAACAGGAUUAGAUACCCUAGUAGUC
rnacentral:rRNA from 1 species